rnacentral:rRNA from 1 species
AUUGAACGCUGGCGGCAGGCCUAACACAUGCAAGUCGAGCGGAUGAAGGGAGCUUGCUCCUGGAUUCAGCGGCGGACGGGUGAGUAAUGCCUAGGAAUCUGCCUGGUAGUGGGGGAUAACGUCCGGAAACGGGCGCUAAUACCGCAUACGUCCUGAGGGAGAAAGUGGGGGAUCUUCGGACCUCACGCUAUCAGAUGAUCCUAGGUCGGAUUAGCUAGUUGGUGGGGUAAAGGCCUACCAAGGCGACGAUCCGUAACUGGUCUGAGAGGAUGAUCAGUCACACUGGAACUGAGACACGAUCCAGACUCCGACGGGAGGCAGCAGUGGGGAAUAUUGGACAAUGGGCGAAAGCCUGAUCCAGCCAUGCCGCGUGUGUGAAGAAGGUCUUCGGAUUGUAAAGCACUUUAUGUUGGGAGGAAGGGCAGUAAGUUAAUACCUUGCUGUUUUGACGUUACCAACAGAAUAAGCACCGGCUAACUUCGUG